rnacentral:rRNA from 1 species
UACUCGAGUGGCGAACGGGUGAGUAACACGUGGGUGAUCUGCCCUGCACUUCGGGAUAAGCUUGGGAAACUGGGUCUAAUACCGGAUAGGACCGCACUUUAGUGUGUGUGGUGGAAAGUUUUUUCGGUGUAGGAUGAGCUCGCGGCCUAUCAGCUUGUUGGUGGGGUAAUGGCCUACCAAGGCGGCGACGGGUAGCCGGCCUGAGAGGUUGGUCGGCCACAUUGGGACUGAGAUACGGCCCAG